AUUUAUAAUUUCAAUAUUAUUAUACAUAUAAGGCAUGCUCAUGCAUUCACUUAUAAUUAUAUGUAUAUAGCUAUUAUAGGCAUGCUUUGUGUUGCAUUAUUAUUUGAUGAAAUUGAUGUGGGUGUCGCCUUAAAGUAAUUUAGAGCUGUGUACGUGUGUCGGCAUGCGUGACGUGUAGUACUGGAUAUGGGUAGGACGGACAGAUUGACUUGAGCUAGUCUCACUUGGGGCCCGAUCUUUUUUGUGAUAAGUUGGGGUGAGUACGGAUUUGAGUUGAUCUCAUUGACCCCCGCACUUGGAUUAUUAAGAGAAAGUCCGGAUUGAGUUGAUCUCGCUGGCAGAAGUUAGAAUCAAGAGAACUGUGUAGGGGAUCAACUCCUAUAUAUAUAUUUUAGUGAUGUGACAUACGAGGGUGCGAAUAAUCCAAAUUAUUCUUUGUGUGAAUAUUAUCUGAAUUUGAUUGACUUUGAUGAUGCAUAUUGCAUUUCAUCCUUAAGAAAGCAUUAGCCCUAGAUAAUUAUAAAAAUUGUAUUUAAAAUCAAUAUCUUACUCUAUGAGUCGAACGCUCAAUACUGUUCACCAUAUUUUCCAUGAUACAAAAGGGUUUCAUUUACAGAAUAACCUGCUUACUUUCUCACAGGUUUAUCAACAGUCGUUCCUUGUAUUUCGUUUUCUUAAUUUAAAAUUUUGAACUCUGCAUGUGCUAAAGUUAUUUUUAAUUUGUGAGACUGUAAUGAUCUAUUUUUUUUAGAAACUAGUAACUUAAUUUUUAUAAAUAUAUUGAAUGUAUGAGAUGGAUUGUUUUGAGAAUGAGGGAGCUGAGCUCUCAUUUAAUUAUUUGAUUAAUUGAAAAUUGUGAAGGUGAGCCGAGCUCCCCAAUUUGAUGUAUUCCGUGAUUACAAGUCGGGUGAGCUAAAAACUCUCCAUUGGAUAGUCCAAGUUAUGGCCGAACUUUGUCCAGUUGAUUCCUUAAAAUAAGACUUAUAGUAUGGGUUUUAUGGUUGGGCUAAAACAACUAGACUUACAAUGGGCUUUGGGAGCCUUAUGAUAACCCAAGUCCUAGUGUCAAUCCGACCCAGAAUUAGGGUUAUGACAGUUACAAUUCCUUGUGGAGAACAUACAGUAAGUCCAUAUUGCAAACAACUAAGAAAAUCAAACCAAAAAUCUUUUGCUUUGAGGAAAUAGUGAGAGCUUAUUAAUUUCACAUGUAUCCAGUUUUGUGUCAUUUUCUCUAUCUGUUACUUUGGCUUCCUUGUAUAAAAUGUCAUAUUUUUUCAUUCUUGUGUUAUUCUCUUCUCCUGCAAUAGUUUCGACUUCAGUUUCCAACAUAUUAGUUCCAGUCCAGACUUUUGCAUUCAAUCAAAUCCAAAAGAAAAGUGGGAAACCUUGACUAAAGUUGCAUAGCAAA
rnacentral:misc_RNA from 1 species